rnacentral:rRNA from 1 species
CCUGGCGGCGGCUUACACAUGCAAGUCGAGCGAAGCCUUCGGGCUUAGCAGCGGACGGGUGAGUAACGCGUGGGAACGUGCCCCUUGGUACGGAAUAGUCCCUGGAAACGGGGUUUAAUACCGUAUGGUGUCUUCGGACUAAAGAUUUAUCGCCAAGGGAUCGGCCCGCGUUGGAUUAGGUAGUUGGUGGGGUAAUGGCCUACCAAGCCGACGAUCCAUAGCUGGUUUGAGAGGAUGAUCAGCCACACUGGGACUGAGACACGGCCCAGACUCCUACGGGAGGCAGCAGUGGGGAAUCUUAGACAAUGGGGGAAACCCUGAUCUAGCCAUGCCGCGUGAGCGAUGAAGGCCUUAGGGUUGUAAAGCUCUUUCGCUGGGGAAGAUAAUGACGGUACCCAGUAAAGAAGCCCCGGCUAACUCCGUGCCAGCAGCCGCGGUAAUACGGAGGGGGCUAGCGUUGUUCGGAAUUACUGGGCGUAAAGCGCGCGUAGGCGGACUGGAAAGUUGGGGGUGAAAUCCCUGGGCUCAACCCCGGAACUGCCUCCAAAACUAUCAGUCUGGAGUUCGAGAGAGGUGAGUGGAAUUGCGAGUGUAGAGGUGAAAUUCGUAGAUAUUCGCAGGAACACCAGUGGCGAAGGCGGCUCACUGGCUCGAUACCGACGCUGAGGUGCGAAAGUGUGGGGAGCAAACAGGAUUAGAUACCCUGGUAGUCCACACCGUAAACGAUGAAUGCCAGUCGUCGGGCAGCAUGCUGUUCGGUGACACACCUAACG